rnacentral:rRNA from 1 species
ACGUAGGAUGCAAGCGUUGUCCGGAUUUAUUGGGCGUAAAGAGUUCGUAGGCGGUUCGUUAAGUCUGAUGUUAAAGAUCAGGGCUCAACCCUGGGAGUGCAUUGGAUACUGGCGGACUGGAGUGUGGUAGAGGCUAGUGGAAUUCCCAGUGUAGCGGUGAAAUGCGUAGAUAUUGGGAAGAACACCGGUGGCGUAGGCGACUAGCUGGGCCAUAACUGACGCUGAGGAACGAAAGCCAGGGGAGCGAAUGGG